rnacentral:lncRNA from 1 species
ACCAAGUUUAAAGAUCCAGAUAAGUCUAAGGAGUCAACAGAAAUUAACAAACCAUCCAAGCAACUUGAAGAAUCCAUAUCAGGGAUUAAGCAAUUUGAGACAUCACCCACUAAUUCUAUAGCUCCUUUUCCAAAUAGACUUAGGUCCAACAAACACUCAGCCCAUAUGGAUCAAAUCUUAGAGAUGUUUAAACAAAUGAAAGUGAAUAUCCCUCUAUUAGAUAUGAUCCAACAAGUUU